CCACGGGUGGCUGCAGUGGGGAAUAUUGGACAAUGGGCGAAAGCCUGAUCCAGCCAUGCCGCGUGUGUGAAGAAGGCCUUCGGGUUGUAAAGCACUUUCAGUGGGGAAGAAAGCCUUGGGGCUAAUACCCUCGAGGAAGGACAUCACCCACAGAAGAAGCACCGGCUAACUCCGUGCCAGCAGCCGCGGUAAUACGGAGGGUGCGAGCGUUAAUCGGAAUUACUGGGCGUAAAGCGCGCGUAGGCGGUCUGAUAAGCCGGUUGUGAAAGCCCCGGGCUCAACCUGGGAACGGCAUCCGGAACUGUCAGGCUAGAGUGCAGGAGAGGAAGGUAGAAUUCCCGGUGUAGCGGUGAAAUGCGUAGAGAUCGGGAGGAAUACCAGUGGCGAAGGCGGCCUUCUGGACUGACACUGACGCUGAGGUGCGAAAGCGUGGGUAGCAAACAGGAUUAGAUACCCUAGUAGC
rnacentral:rRNA from 1 species